GUUGGUUAAAAAUAUGUAUAUUUGAAAUUUUAAAUAGGCAAGCUUUUAUUCUGAAAGUGUCCCAGCGUGGCCCAUGUGACUGGUAGUAGCCAACCGGAUUCUUUUCGGUUCUGACCAAGAUCGCUGCAGACACACAGACGUCGAGCUGCCGUUAUUAAACAAAGGAAACUUAUCUAAAAGAAUAUCUUUAAUUUUUUGAGAAAUUGUUUUGUUUUUCCACUUUAUCCUGCCCUUCAGACGUGUGUACAUUGCUGAAUGGGACUUGGCCAUUUAAGUUGGAGUGGAGAAAAGUUGAGCUAGUACUGAAGUGGGACUUCAUACGCGGUGAAACGAGAUGGCGAGCCACCGGACCUGAUGAACUGUGAAUUUGCUGAUCUGUGCAUGUGGAGCAACAUGCUGUCUGCGGAGUGUUGACCGUUUUCAUCCGAACUGGUAGGAUUUAUCCUUGACUGCUAACAGCAGUGGAUUCAAGACUAGCGCAGAACACAGACAAUAGAGGGAUCAACAGCAGGACAAAAGAAAAGAGACUCUCAUGUGCAUCACACCUUGUUCAGCCUUUUGCUGGAUUAUUUUGAGUUGUGUCUUUUGGUUCAAUAUUUUUAUUUUAAUAUUGAAUGACCCUGUGUGGUACUGCUGUGAUAUUAUUGAGAUUGCAAACUAUUUUGUUGGUUAAACCUAACAUAACAUUGAGUCUGCCGAAUCUGAAUACAGAGCCUAAUUUUUGUAUUAACU